rnacentral:rRNA from 1 species
GAUGAACGCUGGCGGCGUGCCUAAUACAUGCAAGUCGAGCGAACGGACGAGAAGCUUGCUUCUCUGAUGUUAGCGGCGGACGGGUGAGUAACACGUGGAUAACCUACCUAUAAGACUGGGAUAACUUCGGGAAACCGGAGCUAAUACCGGAUAAUAUUUUGAACCGCAUGGUUCAAAAGUGAAAGACGGUCUUGCUGUCACUUAUAGAUGGAUCCGCGCUUCAUUAGCUAGUUGGUAAGGUAACGGCUUACCAAGGCAACGAUGCAUAGCCGACCUGAGAGGGUGAUCGGCCACACUGGAACUGAGACACGGUCCAGACUCCUACGGGAGGCAGCAGUAGGGAAACUUCCGCAAUGGGCGAAAGCCAGACGGAGAAACGCCGCGUGAGUGAUGAAGGUAUUCGGAUCGUAAAACUCUGUUAUUAGGGAAGAACAUAUGUGUAAGUGACUGUGAACAUCUUGACGGUACCUAAUCAGAAAGCCACGGCUAACUACGUG